GUAAACUUUGAUGAUAAGUUACAAAUAUCAUCCGCCAGGGGACUACAAGCGCAUCGCUCGAAACCCAACGGACUUGGCGGUGCCCCACACCCACCUAGAGGAGCCUGUUCUAUAACUGACAAUCCCCGUUUAACCUCACCACCCCUAGCCUCUUCAGUCUAUAUACCACCGUCGUAAGCUCACCCUGUGAAGGCUCAACAGUAAGCAAGAUGGGCAAAACCCAAAACGUCAGGUCGAGGUGUAGCAUAUGGAGUGGGAAGAAAUGGGCUACAUUUUCUGCCCACAGAACACUACGGACAAUGUCAUGAAAUCUGACGUUCAAAGGAGGAUUUAGCAGUAAAAAGAAAACAGAGAGUUCUUUUGAAGCCG
rnacentral:rRNA from 1 species